rnacentral:rRNA from 1 species
UAAAAUUGCCACAGCAAUUAGACUGCUUUUCUCCACGCUUGUCCGAUCACAGCAGCUAAUCAGGGUCAAGUUAGUACUGGGAUGGGAGACUGUCUGGGAAUAUCAGGUACUGUAA